rnacentral:rRNA from 1 species
AGUGAACGCUGGCGGCAGGCCUAACACAUGCAAGUCGAGCGGCAGCGCGGGGGCAACCCUGGCGGCGAGCGGCGGACGGGUGAGGAAUUCGUCGGAAUCUGCCUUUUUGUGGGGGAUAACGUAGGGAAACUUACGCUAAUACCGCAUACGUCCUACGGGAGAAAGUGGGGGACCGCAAGGCCUCACGCAGAAAGAUGAGCCGACGACCGAUUAGCUAGUUGGUGGGGUAAAGGCCCACCAAGGCGACGAUCGGUAGCUGGUCUGAGAGGAUGAUCAGCCACACUGGAACUGAGACACGGCCCAGACUCCUACGGGAGGCAGCAGUGGGGAAUAUUGGACAAUGGGCGCAAGCCUGAUCCAGCCAUGCCGCGUGUGUGAAGAAGGCCUUCGGGUUGUAAAGCACUUUUGUCCGGAAAGAAAACCCUGGAGCUAAUACCUUCGGGGGAUGACGGUACCGGAAGAAUAAGCACCGGCUAACUUCGUG